CGAAAUGCGAUAAGUAAUGUGAAUUGCAGAAUUCAGUGAAUCAUCGAAUCUUUGAACGCACCUUGCGCUCCUUGGUAUUCCUUGGAGCAUGCCUGUUUGAGUAUCAUGAAUUCUUCAAAGUAAAUCUUUUGUUAACUCAAUUGGUUUCUACUUUGGUAUUGGAGGUCUUUGCAGCUUCACACCUGCUCCUCUUUGUUCAUUAGCUGGAUCUCAGUGUUAUGCUUGGUUCCACUCGGCGUGAUAAGUUAUCUAUCGCUGAGGACACUGUAAAAGGUGGCCAAGGUAAAUGCAGAUGAACCGCUUCUAAUAGUCCAUUGACUUGGACAAUACUUUUAUGAUCCGAUCUCAAAUCAGGUAGGACUACCCGCUGAACUUAAGC
rnacentral:misc_RNA from 1 species